rnacentral:lncRNA from 1 species
GUCAACAUAUCCGGGCUAGCUGCUGGCCCAUGAAACGCCGGAGAUCAUUGGGAAACACGAUUGGAUGGGAUGGCUAUUGGCUAGGUGGCCGGCCGAUCAACGUCUCGGCCUGAAUGCCGCGACGCGCCCAACAUUCAUGUCCUUGGGUUCGUCAAGAGUUUCACGCAGUGCGGCGAGGGUUUUAGCUAGGCGUCACGCAUGUCCACGAGGAGGAAUGCGCGCAUGGAUACGGGGGCUGCUGGCUGCGCGAUUCAAUGGUGAUCGAGUGCGCACACACGUACACGCACGCCCGGCUUCACUUCAUGGAUCGCAACAGAAGUGAUAAAUUUUCCUGGACAUGCGAUCGAUGCAUGAACUGCCGAUCGACUUGUAGUCAGUUUUCUCGGAAAGGCGAAUGGAAUUAUAGUGGUUCGGGAGGGGACGGCAGCAUGUAUAUAUGAGUAUAUCUGCUCCCCCGGCCGUUGUGCCUUGUGUCUCGCAC